GACGAACGCUGGCGGCGUGCUUAACACAUGCAAGUCGAACGGAAAGGCCCUGCUUGCAGGGUGCUCGAGUGGCGAACGGGUGAGUAACACGUGGGUGAUCUGCCCCUUACUUUGGGAUAAGCCUGGGAAACUGGGUCUAAUACUGGAUAGGACCAUGCUGUAGGGGGUGUGGUGGAAAGAUUAGUUUCGGUAAGGGAUGAGCUCGCGGCCUAUCAGCUUGUUGGUGGGGUAAUGGCCUACCAAGGCGUCGACGGGUAGCCGGCCUGAGAGGGUGGACGGCCACAUUGGGAAUGUGGUACGGGCCAGAAUCCUACGGGAGGCAGCAGUGGGGAAUAUUGCACAAUGGGGGCAAGCCUGAUGCAGCGACGCCGCGUGGGGGAUGACGGCCUUCGGGUUGUAAACUCCUUUCAGCCAUGACGAAGCCCUUGUGGUGACGGUAGUGGUAGAAGAAGCACCGGCUAACUACGUG
rnacentral:rRNA from 1 species